rnacentral:piRNA from 1 species
UAACAGAAGUCCAAUAAAUGCAGGUCUGUU